rnacentral:rRNA from 1 species
UACGUAGGGGGCUAGCGUUGUCCGGAAUCAUUGGGCGUAAAGCGCGUGUAGGCGGUCCGGUAAGUCCGCUGUGAAAGUCGGGGGCUCAACCCUCGGAUGCCGGUGGAUACUGUCGGGCUUGAGUACGGAAGAGGCGAGCGGAAUUCCUGGUGUAGCGGUGAAAUGCGCAGAUAUCAAGAGGAACACCAAUUGCGAAGGCAGCUCGCUGGGACGUUACUGACGCUGAGACGCGAAAGCGUGGGGAGCAAACAGG